UCCUAGUUAACCUAGGCAGUCUCAUUAGAGUUCCCACCAUUACGUGUUGGCAACUAAUGACAAGGGUUGCGCUCGUUGCGGGACUUAACCCAACACCUCACGGCACGAGCUGACGACAGCCAUGCAGCACCUGUUCACAGGCCCCGAAGGGAAAUACCAUCUCUGGUAUCGUCCUGUGUAUGUCAAGUCUGGGUAAGGUUUUUCGCGUUGCAUCGAAUUAAACCACAUACUCCACUGCUUGUGCGGGUCCCCGUCAAUUCUUUUGAGUUUCACCCUUGCGAGUGUACUCCUCAGGCGGUAUACUUAUCGCGUUUGCUUCGACAAAGUUGGGGUUGAGUCCAACUACAUCUAGUAUACAUCGUUUACGGCAAGGACUAC
rnacentral:misc_RNA from 1 species